rnacentral:rRNA from 1 species
GGCGNGANGAUCCGGAGGUGACCUGCGGACUUAUCAUUAUGCGGAGGAGAGGGUUGGGCCGGGGGGGAUUCUUUUUACAACACGGGGGGGAGCGGAGAGCAGCGGAGGGGAUGGUCUUGAUAGGCCUGAAGCUUAAUACAACUUUCGACAACGGAUCUCUUGGCUCUCGCAUCGAUGAAGAACGCAGCGAAAUGCGAUAAGUAAUGUGAAUUGCAGAAUUCAGUGAAUCAUCGAAUCUUUGAACGCACCUUGCGCCCUUUGGUAUUCCGAGGGGCAUGCCUGUUUGAGUGUCAUUAAAUACCAUCAACCCUCUUUUGACUUCGGUCUCGAGAGUGGCUUGGAAGUGGAGGUCUGCUGGAGCCUAACGGAGCCAGCUCCUCUUAAAUGUAUUAGCGGAUUUCCCUUGCGGGAUCGCGUCUCCGAUGUGAUAAUUUCUACGUCGUUGACCAUCUCGGGGCUGACCUAGUCAGUUUCAAUAGGAGUCUGCUUCCAACCGUCUCUUGACCGAGACUAGCGACUUGUGCGCUAACUUUUGACUUGACCUCAAAUCAUGUAGGACUACCCGCUGAACUUAAGCAUAUCAAUAAUCGGAGGAA